UACGUAGGUGGCAAGCGUUGUUCGGAAUUAUUGGGCGUAAAGCGUGCGCAGGCGGUUUUGUAAGCCAGAUGUGAAAUCCCCGGGCUCAACCUGGGAAUGGCAUUUGGGACUGCAAGGCUUGAGUGCGGCAGAGGAGACUGGAAUUCCUGGUGUAGCAGUGAAAUGCGUAGAUAUCAGGAGGAACACCGAUGGCGAAGGCAGGUCUCUGGGCUGACACUGACGCUCAUGCACGAAAGCGUGGGGAGCAAACAGG
rnacentral:rRNA from 1 species